GACGAACGCUGGCGGCGUGCCUAAUACAUGCAAGUAGAACGCUGAAGGAGGAGCUUGCUUCUCUGGAUGAGUUGCGAACGGGUGAGUAACGCGUAGGUAACCUGCCUGGUAGCGGGGGAUAACUAUUGGAAACGAUAGCUAAUACCGCAUAAGAGUAGAUGUUGCAUGACAUUUGCUUAAAAGGUGCAAUUGCAUCACUACCAGAUGGACCUGCGUUGUAUUAGCUAGUUGGUGGGGUAACGGCUCACCAAGGCGACGAUACAUAGCCGACCUGAGAGGGUGAUCGGCCACACUGGGACUGAGACACGGCCCAGACUCCUACGGGAGGCAGCAGUAGGGAAUCUUCGGCAAUGGACGGAAGUCUGGCCGAGCAACGCCGCGUGAGUGAAGAAGGUUUUCGGAUCGUAAAGCUCUGUUGUAAGAGAAGAACGAGUGUGAGAGUGGAAAGUUCACACUGUGACGGUAUCUUACCAGAAAGGGACGGCUAACUACGUG
rnacentral:rRNA from 1 species